rnacentral:rRNA from 1 species
CUCUGUGACUCCUACGGGAGGCAGCAGUGGGGAAUAUUGCACAAUGGGGGAAACCCUGAUGCAGCCAUGCCGCGUGUGUGAAGAAGGCCUUCGGGUUGUAAAGCACUUUCAGUAGGGAGGAAGGUAGUGUAGUUAACACCUGCAUUAUUUGACGUUACCUACAGAAGAAGCACCGGCUAACUCCGUGCCAGCAGCCGCGGUAAUACGGAGGGUGCGAGCGUUAAUCGGAAUUACUGGGCGUAAAGCGCAUGCAGGCGGCCUGUUAAGUCAGAUGUGAAAGCCCGGGGCUUAACCUCGGAAUUGCAUUUGAAACUGGCAGGCUAGAGUCUUGUAGAGGGGGUAGAAUUUCAGGUGUAGCGGUGAAAUGCGUAGAGAUCUGAAGGAAUACCAGUGGCGAAGGCGGCCCCCCUGGACAAAGACUGACGCUCAGAUGCGAAAGCGUGGGGAGCAAACAGGAUUAGAUACCCCUGGUAG